AUAACAUCCGGAAACGGGUGCUAAUACCGCAUAGUUUCUUGAUUGCAUGAUUGAGAAAGGAAAGACGGCCUUUGUGCUGUCGCUUAUGGAUGGACCCGCGGCGUAUUAGUUAGUUGGUGAGGUAACGGCUCACCAAGACGAUGAUACGUAGCCGACCUGAGAGGGUGAUCGGCCACAUUGGGACUGAGACACGGCCCAAACUCCUACGGGAGGCAGCAGUAGGGAAUCUUCCGCAAUGGACGAAAGUCUGACGGAGCAACGCCGCGUGAGUGAAGAAAAGGUUUUCGGAUCGUAAAACUCUGUUGUCAGAGAAGAACAAGUUGGAGAGUAACUGCUCCAGCCUUGACGGUAUCUGACCAGAAAGCCACGGCUAACUACGUGCCAGCCGCUGC
rnacentral:rRNA from 1 species